rnacentral:rRNA from 1 species
UACGGGGGGGGCAAGCGUUGUUCGGAAUUACUGGGCGUAAAGGGCGCGUAGGCGGCCCAAUCAGUCGGGCGUGAAAGCUCUGGGCUUAACCCAGAAAUGUCGUUCGAUACUGUUGGGCUAGAGUGUGGAAGAGGCUACUGGAAUUCCGUGUGUAGCGGUGAAAUGCGUAGAUAUACGGAGGAACACCUGCGGCGAAGGCGGCAUUCUGGACCAAUACUGACGCUGAGGAGCGAAAGCCAGGGGAGCAAACGGG